rnacentral:rRNA from 1 species
UGGGGAAUAUUGCACAAUGGAGGGAACUCUGAUGCAGCGACGCCGCGUGAACGAAGAAGGCUUUCGAGUCGUAAAGUUCUUUUAUAUGGGAAGAUAAUGACGGUACCAUAAGAAAAAGCCCCGGCUAACUACGUGCCAGCAGCCGCGGUAAUACGUAGGGGGCUAGCGUUGUCCGGAAUCACUGGGCGUAAAGGGUUCGCAGGCGGAAAUGCAAGUCAGGUGUAAAAGGCAGUAGCUUAACUACUGUAAGCAUUUGAAACUGCAUAUCUUGAGAAGAGUAGAGGUAAGUGGAAUUUUUAAUGUAGCGGUGAAAUGCGUAGAUAUUAAAAAGAAUACCGGUGGCGAAGGCGACUUACUGGGCUCAUUCUGACGCUGAGGAACGAAAGCGUGGGUAGCAAACAGG